rnacentral:rRNA from 1 species
UACGUAGGGUGCAAGCGUUGUCCGGAUUUAUUGGGUUUAAAGGGUGCGUAGGCGGUCCGUUAAGUCCGGGGUGAAAGCCCACUGCUCAACAGUGGAACUGCCCUGGAAACUGGCGGACUUGAGUACAGACGAGGGUGGCGGAAUGGAUGGUGUAGCGGUGAAAUGCAUAGAUACCAUCCAGAACCCCGAUUGCGAAGGCAGCUGCCUAGACUGUAACUGACGCUGAGGCACGAAAGCGUGGGGAGCGAACAGG